rnacentral:tRNA from 1 species
AUUCUUUUAGUAUUAAUCAGUAUAAGUGAUUUCCACUCACUAGGUCUUAAUAAAAAUUAAGAAAGAAUA